rnacentral:lncRNA from 1 species
CAAAUCCUUCAUCGAUUAAAAAGGAAAAGAAAAGAAAAAAAACACCAGCCUAAAAUCCUCUGUGGUUUCCGUGGGUUGAAAUUUAAAGCUGGGAAGAUGCGGAGUCGUAACAAGAACCACAUCACCAACCACGAGUUUGAGGUGUGUACACCUUCAGAACACAUAGCUGGUCACAAGCAGCCUCAGCUUUCUUCAACUACGGACUGGUCAACAACCUCUUACUACUUUGGAUCGCAUUCUGUAGACAACCCUUGUAAGAGUAAUGUCAGUGGCGUGAAAUGUGUCUAACCAGAACGGGUGGCUAAUAAUGAAUCAACUUUACGACCGAUUCUGGCGUUGUUAACGGAACACCGCCGACACACCAAUGUUUUCUGAUAUGAUAAUGAGGAGCGGUGCUAUUCACAUACCAAUUAAUCCAAUUCGAACGAAUUAACAAUGCUAA